UACGUAGGGGGCAAGCGUUGUCCGGAAUCAUUGGGCGUAAAGCGCGUGUAGGCGGCCCGGUAAGUCCGCUGUGAAAGUCGGGGGCUCAACCCUCGAAUGCCGGUGGAUACUGUCGGGCUAGAGUGCGGGAGAGGCGAGUGGAAUUCCUGGUGUAGCGGUGAAAUGCGUAGAUAUCGGAAGGAACAUCAGUGGCGAAAGCGACUUCCUGGACCAAUACUGACGCUCAUGUGCGAAAGCGUGGGGAGCAAACAGG
rnacentral:rRNA from 1 species